UGGGCAACCUGCCCCUAGCUCUGGGAUAACUCCGGGAAACCGGGGCUAAUACCGGAUACGACCUUCUGCGGCAUCUCGGGAGGUGGAAAGAAUUUCGGCUAGGGAUGGGCCCGCGGCCUAUCAGCUUGUUGGCGGGGUAACGGCCCACCAAGGCGACGACGGGUAGCCGGCCUGAGAGGGCGACCGGUCACACUGGGACUGAGACACGGCCCAGACUCCUACGGGAGGCA
rnacentral:rRNA from 1 species